rnacentral:rRNA from 1 species
GAUGAACGCUGGCGGCGUGCUUAACACAUGCAAGUCGAACGAUGAAGCCCAGCUUGCUGGGUGGAUUAGUGGCGAACGGGUGAGUAACACGUGAGUAACCUGCCCUUGACUCUGGGAUAAGCCUGGGAAACUGGGUCUAAUACUGGAUAUGACUUCUCAUCGCAUGGUGGGGGGUGGAAAGAUUUAUUGGUCUUGGAUGGACUCGCGGCCUAUCAGCUUGUUGGUGAGGUAAUGGCUCACCAAGGCGACGACGGGUAGCCGGCCUGAGAGGGUGACCGGCCACACUGGGACUGAGACACGGCCCAGACUCCUACGGGAGGCAGCAGUGGGGAAUAUUGCACAAUGGGCGCAAGCCUGAUGCAGCGACGCCGCGUGAGGGAUGACGGCCUUCGGGUUGUAAACCUCUUUCAGUUGGGAAGAAGCGAGAGUGACGGUACCUGCAGAAGAAGCGCCGGCUAACUACGUG